UACGAAGGGUGCAAACGUUGCUCGGAAUUAUUGGGCGUAAAGCGCACGUAGGCGGCUUUGCAAGUCCCAUGUGAAAUCCCACGGCUCAACCGUGGAAGUGCAUGGGAAACUGCAGAGCUUGAGUACUUAAGAGGAUCGCGGAAUUCCCGGUGUAGAGGUGAAAUUCGUAGAUAUCGGGAAGAACACCCGUGGCGAAGGCGGCUCUCUGGGACGGUACUGACGCUGAGACGCGAAAGCGUGGGGAGCGAACAGG
rnacentral:rRNA from 1 species